CCUGAACGCGCCCGAUCUCGCCUGAUCUGGGAAGCGAAGCAGG
ensembl:rRNA 5S_rRNA 5S ribosomal RNA